rnacentral:other from 1 species
UCCCAGUGCGCGUCUAGGAAGGAGCCUGCGUCCCAGAGCGUCCCAGGAGCGCGGCCGCCCGGUGCUCGGCUCCCCGGCCAUGCAGCGGCGGCCGAGGCGCAGCUCCCAGAGACGGUAGCGCCCCCUGUGAGGAGGCCCGAAAUGCCCCUGCCACUGUGAACCCGCCAGGACGCGCUCAGCUCCGGACACGCUCGGCUCUGCGCGCCUGCGAGGAGCACCGAGUGGAGAGAGAGCGGCAGGCGCAGCAAAGGCCGCCCAGCACCGGCAGGGGAGGCCGGCCGGUGCGGUUCAGGGACACGUACUCAGUCUGACUCGAGCUGGCACUG